rnacentral:lncRNA from 1 species
UUUUUUUUUUUUGUCACUCACCAUUUAUCACUGUCCCUCCUCCUUCCCCAGUUACCUUUAAUGUGUUUCAUUCUCCUGGAGUAUUUUUUCCAUCUCAGCUUCAUUCCCUGUCUCCUAUUUCUGGUUCAGCCUUGAAGUUCCAAGUUGUCUCAUUUUCACAACAGAGUUUGUCACAGAUCAGCUGCACCCUUUUCCCACCCUUUUGAUCCCUGCAACUUUCAUUGUUUCUCUGAGCAGAAGGCUUUGAAAAGGAGUGCUGCAUUCUGAUUCCAAGUCAGAGAUACUGCUCUCCUCUUACUUCCUCUCAAAAGAAGUCAAGAAGAUGAAAAAACACAUCCCUGAUUCAUCAGAACUUAGGGAGUACACAAUUAAAAAUUACAAAAUUUAACUUGUAAGAGUACCUUCGUGUAACUACUUCAAUUUUUUUUGGAUAUAAGGCAAAGCUGAGGAAAAAGCAGGAACACAUAGAUCUUACAUAAAAUGAAAUACUGGACUUUAACAUCCACUGCUUGUGUGACAGGCAGCCCACAGCUGCCUUGUGCCCUUUGAAACAGGCCCAUCCUUGUCUCCUUGGCAAGAUCUCCCCACAAUUCAUUCAUUAAUUUGCAUUUGAGUGGAAGCAGCACCUUAGGAAAUAGAUCUGAAAUUCAAGAGUGUGUACCACUGCAUUUUGAUCUGUUCUCUGAUAUCCAUAGGAGCAUGUAAGCAGCUUUGGCAUGUUCACAGGUUCCGAGUUCUCCCUUGCAGGGCUCCACUGGGGUUUGGAUAGCAAGCCCUGGGGGUAUGUGAAGUAACACAGGAAGAUCUGGAUCAAAAAGAAAAUCCUUCUGCUAUAUUUGAUAAUGGGAGAGGUCACCACUUUCUGUCAGACUCCAAUGCAAGUCUUACAUUCUAGGACAUGUUUAUUCCAUGACAAAGGCAAGCUCUUUGCAGGCAAAAGCAAAACCCUUUUUAUAAGGGACAGCAUUAAGCUUACUUCUAGUAUUUCUGUCCAGAAUUCACAUAAUUCCUACAGACACAGACUGAAUAACAUCAGCAGUAGCAUUUUUGGUGGAUGUUCAAUUCCAUGUCAAACUUUCCUUAAACAAGGCAAUCAUGCUGAUUCUUGGCUGUGAAGCUCAAAGGAGAUUAUUCCUCCAGCACAUAUUUCUGAGGUUUGCAAUCAAAUGCUUUCUUUGGGAGAUGGAAACAUUUGAGAAUCAUGUUAGACCACAGAGAAGCAUUUCAUCCCCACUACAUCAUCUCUGCACCAUUUGCAAGGGCUAUUGCCAAGGAGUUGUCACUCCCAUCUCAGGAAGCCCUUGAAAAAGCCAUUUACACUUUUGUCUUUCUUCAGGAUUAGAUUACUCUAAUUCUUUAUUGACUGCCAUGCACAACAGGGCUCUGCACAACCUCCAGCAGGCACAGCCUCCUGCUCUGUUUUUUGUGAGAAAAGGAUGAUUUGAACAUAUUGUGCUGAUUGUAAAGCCUUUCCAUCACUGGCAACAAAGUCAAUGAAUUGAUUAUAAAAUUGUUCUGUUUACUUAGGACACAAAUUAUGGUCACUGCCUUUUUGCUGGCGAGUUUAAUUGGAACUAACUAGUUGAAUCCUUACAGAAAUCCUGUACUUUAUGGAACACAUCACACCCUCUCUUUUCCCAGCAGUGCUCCAAAGCUGCUUGAAGCAAAAUAUGGCCACUAGAAGCUCUUAAGACCUACUGUUCUACACCUCCCAGGAUGAAUGGGGUUUAUCUUUCUAAAAUUGAAGCUGAAAAAAACCCCACACUUUCUGGCAGCUCAUGGUGUUAAAGUUGGUUUUAUGGUGGGCUAUUUCACUCAAAGUACUGAUUUCUGUUUUAUUAGCCAUGAUUUUGAUUGUCUGCUGUAUUCACUUCCAACUGCAGGAUUUGGAUUAUUUUCUACCCUCUCUAUUGUCUACCAAGAUAAAUAGCCAAUUGCACUUCAUAUAGCCAGAGAUUCAUUGCACCCCUUACAGAUCAAACUGUUACUUACAUUUACUCUGAUAGUUCAACUAAUGCUUCAUUUACUCCUGCAAAUUAAGUAUUGCUCAACUAAAGCUCAGCCUGUUUCCAUCUAAAGAAUCUAGAGUUAAUACUCAUUGUCCUAGACAAGUUUUUAGCCACUUCUGGCUCUCAAACCAGCAUUAAUUCUGUUAAACCCAGCAAGGUAUCAUUUCUCCAGAACUGUAAAGUUAAUUAAAAAAUACACACAAAUAUAUAUACUCACACACAUAUAUUCACACACACCUAUAUAUUGGCUGCAUUGAGAAUAUGCAUCAAACCUGAAACUCUGAUUGUCAGUUAGCCUUUCCAAGUUCACCACAGGGUUUUUCCAGCCCUGGUUCCUGGUUGCAGCUUCCCGUCCCAGGAAUGCCAGAUCAUUUCCCAGAAGGUGCUCCAAACCUUAUUUCUUCUGGGUCUGGUUUCUUGUUUGAUUAACAGAACUCUCAUGCCCACAUGCCUCCUGAUUAAUUAUAACAUGCUUUAACUGUUGUUCAUUAUUUGAUAAAGCAACAGAAGGAUAACUCCAGCAAGACAUCUACCUCAAAUUUUGUGUUCAUGACUCCCUGCUUGUAUUUUUUCUUGUUUACAUCUUCAGUUCUGUACAAUGGGGUCUUGUUAGUAAAGCACAGCACACUGGUGUGCAUCGCAAGGAACACUGAGCAAGCCAGGAGGACUCAAAGGCCCUCUUAGCACAUUUGCAGUGAAAAUUUCCUGCAGCAUAAUAGGCUUGGUGCCCACUGACACCCACUAGAAAGUUGACUAGUGACAAUUUGUUAUUCUAGUCAGACUUGUUCCCAGCCACUCCUGACAUUCAGAAUUGUAGUAAGAAAGUAUAUUUUUAUUAUACUGAAAACACUCUUUGAAACAGAUUUAGAAUUGCAGGAGAUCUAUUGAUGUCAUUCAUCUCAGCUGAAACUACAGAGCAGUGUGAGGCUUUUCCUUCCCUUCUGUGUUUGCAUAUUUGACAGUAGCUGUUUCUGUAUGCUUAAAAAAGUGAUGUGUCUGUCAGUUAUUAUUUAAUUCUCCUCUCAAUCACAUUAGGCUGAACAAAGACAGGUCAAUUACAUACUCUUUUUUAAAAGACACUUUCAUUAAAAUCAAGUUUGAUCAAGAAUCAACAUUAUUUGAAGUCUUUUCUCCUGUCAUCCCUAAAGCACACAGAGAUUAGCACUCAAGUUCCUUAGCCAGAAGCACUGGAGAGAAUCCCUUACCUAACCUUUCUCUGGAGAGGAAGACAUGGCAAAUGCAAAAUUGCCAUGCUAUAGACUAUAUUUUUGGUAGGAUGGUACUAUAUUUUCUGCAUAGAUUGUGACCAGACUGGAAAUAUAUUAAAUAAUACAAAAGCCCAUCAAAACAUUCAAAACAUUCAUAGGAAGAUGGGCCCACUUUCGAGCCCAAAAUGUAUCUUGCAGAAUUUCAUCUGCUUUCUGAAUGAGGAUGGUUUUCCCAAAGCUUACGUAAAUAUUAAAAACUCUUAACUAUUUGUUAUAUGCAAAUGGCUCCUCAGAAGUUAAAAACUGCAAAAGAUUGAGAUCUGUAAGAAUUACUUGGUAAAAAGAAAAAAGAAAGACUAUGUAUUUAAUAAAGAAUCCAAUCAGAUUGAAUUAACACAAGCUGAGUGUACCUGCUUGCUCCAAGAGUAAAUCUCCAGGCAGGAGCCAUGCUGGGAGUGGAGCUGUGAGAUUUUGGACCCAGAGUAACAGAGGGGAUGACAGAAGAUCCAGGCCCUUUCAUUUAGCUGGUAGUUCAUGACCAGACUGCAUUACCUUCUACUUACCUACUUUUAGUGAGGAUAGCAGAAUACAUUUUCUUUAAGCCUGAUUUACGUUUGCAGUCUGCUCUCAUGCAUUUUGGAGAAGUUUUGAAAGACAGAAGAUCAAUGGAGGACUUUAAACAGAAGAUCACCCCCUCUGAAGGUGAAGCAGAAACUGGGACAGUUUCCAAAUGUUUAACAGAAUCAUCUAAUACUUCUGGCAGCUCCAGAGAUCAUUACACUCUUAAAUGAGAAAGUAAAUCGGGGAAAUAUAGCCAGGACAUUUAAGGAAAAGACUGGCUAUUUAGGGAAUUAAAUACAAAAAGUGUAUCAAAAGAAUACUACACACUAAAAAAAUAAUCAUGUUGAAAUCUCUGGCACCUAAAAAUAUUAUAACAAAAAAAAAAAAAAGAGGAGAGAGAAGACCCUCCCUCUGUGCCAGAGCACCACUCAGCGUGGGAAUGGAAAAUGGAGUGGUGUCACAUCCCUGGUUUCAGCUCCUUACUUCCGAGACAGGCUGCCCUAAUUUAUCCUGGCUCCUUUAGUUUACUCUAAUUUAUGCUAUCCAUGAGUGACUUAAAGAAUCACAGGCCAGACAAGGAUCAGCAAGCAGAAACUAAUUUCUGUUCACUUAAAAUUCUCUUUCUUUCUUUUUUUCCAGGCAUUUGCAGAUGAAAAUCUCUUUGUUGGUGCUGCUUCACCAGUUCAAAAGGGCUGAUAAUGUGGUGACCAAUCCAGCCUUCCCUCUGGAAGCCUUAGUUGUUUACCAUAAGAGAGAUUUUUCUAUUUAGAAUACAGCAUUUGGACAGGUUUACAUAUACAGAUCUUUCAGUGUAACAUGUUACUUGCUCCAAAGACUGUCAGAACAAUUUAAGGUAUUAGUGCAGGUGAUGUUUGGAAACAGAGGAGAUACCUUGCAGAAGGUCAAAUAAAGAUAGAGAGAUUGCCUGAAGAUUGUCACAGAGGAGAGUUCCACAGAGCAGAAUUUAAAAAAAAAAAAAAAAAAAAA